rnacentral:snRNA from 1 species
AUCUCACAGAUAUUUUGUGAUGCUUAACUAAUUUUUUUUAUGUGCUUUGAUAUCCUGGGAUGGAAGGAAGUUGUAGAAGUGCAUAGUAGUAAUAGAGGACUAUAUAUUAAAUGGAUUUUUGGAACAGGGAGAUGGAAUAGGAGCUUGCUCCAUCCACUCCACUCAUCGACCUGGUAUCCCAGUACCUCCAGGAACGGUGCACCUCCC